UGAAUACGAGAUGCUACGGCGUCGAAGCAGUCUAUGUCAUACUUCCAAGAAAAGCUUGCACUGUCAUAAACAAAUAAUGCCUGUACCAUAACCGACACAGGUGGGUAGGUAGAGUAUACUAAGGGGCGCGAGAUAACUCUCUCUAAGGAACUCGGCAAAAUGACUCCGUAACUUCGGGAGAAGGAGUGCCUUAUUUAUAAGGUUGCAAUAACAAGAUCCAAGCAACUGUUUACCAAAAACACAGGUCUCCGCUAAGUCGUAAGACGAUGUAUGGGGGCUGACGCCUGCCCAGUGCCAGAAGGUUAAAGAAGUUGGUUAGCAUCCGCGAAGCUGAUAACUGAAGCCCUGGUGAACGGCGGCCGUAACUAUAACGGUCCUAAGGUAGCGAAAUUCCUUGUCGGGUAAGUUCCGACCCGCACGAAAGGCGUAAUGAUUUGGAUACUGUCUCGGAGAGGGGCUCGGUGAAAUAGACUUGUCUGUGAAGAUGCGGACUACCUGCACCAGGACAGAAAGACCCUAUGAAGCUUUACUGUAACCUGAAAUUGAAAUUGGACUUUACUUGCGCAGUAUAGGUGGGAGGCGUUGAGAAUAUUCUUGCGGGAUUAUUGGAGCCAUCAGUGAGAUACCACCCUUGUAAUGUUAGAUUUCUAACUUUGUAUCAUUAUCUGGUCAAAGAACAGUUUCAGGCGGGCAGUUUGACUGGGGCGGUCGCCUCCUAAACGGUAACGGAGGCGCACAAAGGUUUCCUCUGAACGGGUAGAAAUCGUAUCUAGAGUGUAAAGGCAUAAGCAAGCUUGACUGUGAGACCUACAAGUCGAGCAGGGACGAAAGUCGGUCUUAGUGAUCUGACGGUGCUGAGUGGAAAGGCCGUCACUCAACGGAUAAAAGUUACUCUAGGAUAACAGGCUGAUCUCCCCCAAGAGUUCACAUCGACGGGGAGGUUUGGCACCUCGAUGUCGGCUCAUCGCAUCCUGGGGCGGUAGUACGUCCCAAGGGUUGGGCUGUUCGCCCAUGAAAGCGGUACGCGAGCUGGGUUCAGAACGUCGUGAGACAGUUCGGUCCAUAUCCGGUGUAGGCGUUAGAAUAUUGAGAGGAGCCUUCUUUAGUACGAGAGGACCGAGAAGGACAUACCUCUGGUGUACCAGUUAUCGUGCCAACGGUAAACGCUGGGUAGCUAUGUGUGGAGUGGAUAACCGCUGAAAGCAUCUAAGUGGGAAGCCCACCUCAAGAUAAGUAUUCUCA
rnacentral:rRNA from 1 species